ensembl:lncRNA
CCCAACCAGCUGUAUGACCUCGGUCACAUUUUAUUAUGUUAAAAGGAACUUACUAGCUCCUGCCUCACAGGAUUGAAAAUGAGACGGUGUUUGCAGCCCUUAACUUGGCUCCUGGAAAUAGUGAAGUUCAAGAAAUGGUUCCUUUCAGAGGGGAGCAACAACGAGCACGGGACACAAUACUUGUAGGCCCAGGGGAAAGCGGAUGUCGUCUUGACCCGGAAGAGACCCUAGCAAGGGAGAAAGAGACCUGAAACUCUUGGACACCACGUGGCUUCUCCACGGCCUCGCCCCCCCUCCCCCAUCUCGGUCUCCGCGGGGCUCAAGCAGGGGAAGGGUGGAAGCCACGAGGGCGCGCCGCGGAGGCGGACGCCUGCCGCCGGUCUCCUAGCAACGCCCGCCCCGCCCCGCCCGGCCUGGCGCGCUGGCGCCGGGAAGCGGAGGGAGGGGGCCGCCGUUGCCAUGGCAGCGCAGCCACCGCGUCGGUCGCCGGCGGAGCCUGCGGGGAAGCUCGGACCCCGAGUGGGCGACUGGGCGGCGUCUCUGGCUCGUUCCCUUAGGCUGCGGCUGGAUCUCGUGCUCGCCAGUAGCCACGGGGAACCGAGUCGCCACCAAGCGUGGCCGAACUCGGGCCGAUUGGCCCCGACUCAUUUGCCCACCGACGUGGCCCCGGAAACCACCAGAAUCAGGAAGCUGCUGUGAUCAGGAAGUCUCCAUUACAGCUUCUGGAUCUCUGGAGCCUCCUGAAAUCCACAUCCUCAAGAUGGAUGGUGUGGGCCCUCCUUCGACACCUCCAAGGCUAUGCAGCGGCCACACACUGGGACCUCUGUUCAUCCUGGUGAAGAACUGUCCAGUGACUCCUUGAUCAAGCUUGCCAGCAAAACAGCAGAAGCGGCAGAAACGAAACUGGAACCAACGAAGUGCACCAUGAGAACCUAAAUUAUAUUUAGAACUUUGCUUCAGGGAAAUCUGAGAAAAACAAUCUUGUGGUGUUCCACCUCUCCGAAAGAGGAAGGUACACUAAAAGGAGCUUGGAAUGGCUGCUGAGCACCAACCCACUCCAUAUUACACCUUUGGCUGUUAAACACUCAUAUAUUCUCUUUCCUAAAUUGAGCUUCCAUGAAAACACAGGUCCUCACUAAUAUUCAAACACAUUUUCCUGCUCCUCAAAGGGAGACCUACACUUCUCAGUAUCCAUGUCUGGGCAAUGUUUAUUUUUCCCCUGUAACCUAGUCAUGACCCAUUUUUGAUGUCCUACAACCGGUGUUCUAGAGGAGAGUUAAUCCUGACCCAAAACUCCUUCAUAGAACAGUAAGGGGAAGGGGGAAGGAAUAAAAAGGAUAGUUAUUAAUAGAUGUAAAUAAUAGAAAGGAAAACUAGGAGCUACAGCACUACAGUCCUCACAUGUGGUCUUAGUCAGGAGUCGUCAUUGGUAUUUGUGACUUCUUCCUCUUCUUCCCAUUCACUGUAGUCUUUGCACCCAGGCAAUUGCUCAGAGCCCUGGACUUCAUUGCCUGGUGACAUGAAACCUUUCUUCCUGAGGACCCUGAGCUCUAGGACUGCUG